rnacentral:rRNA from 1 species
CAGCCGUAAACAAUGUGCGUUAGGUGUGUCGGUAACCACGCGUUACUGAUGCGCCGAAGAGAAAUCGUGAAACGCACCACCUGGGAAGUACGGUCGCAAGGCUGAAACUUAAAGGAAUUGGCGGGGGAGCACCGCAACGGGAGGAGCGUGCGGUUUAAUUGGAUUCAACACCGUAAAACUCACCAGGGAAGACUGUUACAUGAAGGCCGAGAUGAAGACUCUGCUAGAGGAGGUGCAUGGCGUCAGUGACU